CACGUAGGGUGCGAGCGUUGUCCGGAAUCAUUGGGCGUAAAGAGCGUGUAGGCGGUCCGGUAAGUCGGCUGUGAAAGUCCAGGGCUCAACCCUGGGAUGCCGGUCGAUACUGCCGGACUAGAGUUCGGAAGAGGCGAGUGGAAUUCCCGGUGUAGCGGUGAAAUGCGCAGAUAUCGGGAGGAACACCUAUGGCGAAGGCAGCUCGCUGGGACGUUACUGACGCUGAUGCGCGAAAGCUAGGGGAGCAAACAGG
rnacentral:rRNA from 1 species